rnacentral:lncRNA from 1 species
CCGCGGCCAGGGCCCGGCCCCUCCCUCCGCACUAGUUUCCCGGGCAAGUUCGGAGCGGGUGGCCGGCUAGGCGAGCCCUCUUCGGGUUCCUCCUUCUCUUCCUUCGUGUCCCUGCGGCCUCUCAGGCCCUCGGGACACUCUAGGAGGCCGAUCUGCAGGGUGGGCACGCCCUAAAUCCACGCCAAGUCACCCACGCAUUCCUUCUGCCACCCUCUCUUGGAUCCGAAGGGGCGAAAGGGAAUCUCUGCACGUCACUCCCCACCCCUUAUCCACCUCGGGACCUGGAGGGAGG